rnacentral:rRNA from 1 species
AUUGAACGCUGGCGGCAGGCCUAACACAUGCAAGUCGAACGGGUGGCGGACGGGUGAGUAAUGUCUGGGAAACUGCCUGAUGGCGGGGGAUAACUACUGGAAACGGUAGCUAAUACCGCAUACCAUCGGAUGUGCCCAGAUGGGAUUUGCUAGUUGGUGGGGUAAAGGCUAACCAGGGCGAUGAUCCCUAGCGGGUCUGAGAGGAUGACCAGCCACACUGGAACUGAGACACGGUCCAGACGCCUACGGGAGGCAGCAGUGGGGAAGAUUGCACAAUGGGCGAAAGCCUGAUGCAGCAAUGCCGCGUGUAUGAAGAAGGCCUUCGGGUUGUAAAGUACUUUCAGCGGGGAGGCGUUACCCGCAGAAGAAGCACCGGCUAACUCCGUGCCAGCAGCCGCGGUAAUAC